rnacentral:tRNA from 1 species
AUUUCUAUAAUAUAAAAAAAUAUAUAAUAUUUUCAAUAUUAAAAUGAAAAAUUCUCUAGAAAUA